AGAGUUUGAUCAUGGCUCAGAAUGAACGUUGGCAGCAUGGAUUAGGCAUGCAAGUCGAGCGACAAGGUUCCUUCGGGAACUGGAGGAGCGGCAAACGGGGUAGUAAGGCAUCGGAACGUACCCUCUUGUCCGGGAUAGCCGCGGGAAACUGCGAGUAAUACCGGAUAAUCUCUUCGGAGCAAAGGUCCGCCGCGGGAGGAGCGGCCGAUGUGAUACCAGCUAGUUGGUAGGGUAAUGGCCUACCAAGGCUUAGACGUCUAGGGGGUGUGAGAGCAUGGCCCCCACCACUGGGACUGAGACACUGCCCAGACACCUACGGGUGGCUGCAGUCGAGAAUCUUCGGCAAUGGGCGCAAGCCUGACCGAGCGAUGCUGCGUGCGGGAUGAAGGCCCUUGGGUUGUAAACCGCUGUCAGAGGGGAUGAAAGCGAAAGCUUGACAGAGCCUCAGAGGAAGCGCGGGCUAAGUUCGUGCCAGCCGCCGCGGUAAUAC
rnacentral:rRNA from 1 species